AGAGUUUGAUCCUGGCUCAGGAUAAACGCUGGCGGCGCACAUAAGACAUGCAAGUCGAACGGACUUAACCAUUAGUUUACUAUUGGAGCGGUUAGUGGCGAACGGGUGAGUAACGCGUGAGUAACCUGCCCUUGAGUGGAGGACAACAGUUGGAAACGACUGCUAAUAUCGCAUAAGACCACAGAGCCGCAUGGCUCAGGGGUAAAAGGAUUUAUUCGCUCAAGGAUGGACUCGCGUCCAAUUAGCUAGUUGGUGAGGUAACGGCCCACCAAGGCGACGAUUGGUAGCCGGACUGAGAGGUUGAUCGGCCACAUUGGGACUGAGACACGGCCCAGACUCCUACGGGAGGCAGCAGUGGGGGAUAUUGCACAAUGGGGGAAACCCUGAUGCAGCGACGCCGCGUGAAGGAAGAAGGUCUUCGGAUUGUAAACUUCUGUUGUCAGGGACGAUAAUGACGGUACCUGACGAGAAAGCCACGGCUAACUACGUGCCAGCAGCUGCGGUAAAACGUAGGUGGCAAGCGUUGUCCGG
rnacentral:rRNA from 1 species